rnacentral:rRNA from 1 species
UAUUGGGUUUUCGACUAAGCCCCGCGAGUCGAGAGGGUUCGGCCCUCGGCUGACGGCUCAGUAACACGUGGAUAAUCUGCCCUUAGGUGGAGGAUAAUCUCGGGAAACUGAGGAUAAUACUCCAUAAAUCUAGGAUGCUGGAAUGCAUCUAGAUUGAAAGCUCCGGCGCCUAAGGAUGAGUCUGCGGACUAUCAGGUUGUAGUCAGGGUAAAGACCUGACUAGCCUACGACGGAUACGGGUUGUGAGAGCAAUAACCCGGAGACGAUAUCUGAGACACGAUAUCGGGCCCUACGGGGCGCAGCAGGCGCGAAAACUUCACACUGUGCGAAAGCGCGAUGAGGGAAUCCCAAGUGUUUGCUCGUAAGAGUAAACUGUUUCUUUGUUUAAAACGCAGAGAGAGUAAGGGCUGGGUAAGACGGGUGCCAGCCGCCGCGGUAAUACCUGCAGCUCGAGUGGUGAUCAUUAUUAUUGGGCCUAAAACGUCCGUAGCCGGUUUAGUAAAUGCCUGGGUAAAUCGUGUAGCUUAACUAUACGACUUCCGGGUAGACUGCUAAACUUGAGACCGGGAGAGGCUAGAGGUACUCCUGGGGUAGAGGUGAAAUUCUGUAAUCCUAGGGGGGACCCCAGUGGCAAAGGCGUCU